CAUGCUUGCAAAAUGGAGAUGUUGGAGUGUCUACUGCAGCGCAAUGGGAUAGGCCAUGUCCCUGGAGCACUAGGACGCAGGUUCGAUUCCCAGCCCAGUAGAGUGAGUUGAGGGUCUAGCUUGCCACAGCUAUGGCAUUGGUUGCAGUGGCAGCUCAGAUGGGUCUGAUCCCUGGCCCCGGGGAACUCCAUAUUCUGUGAAGCAGCCGAAAGAAUUUUCAAAAAUAAAAAUAAAUUAUUAGAAAGAAUGGAGAUGUUCUCCGUGAGGCUUCUGUCACAAGCAGCCCUUUUUCUGCCAGAGCGGGGAAUCUAUCAUGAGUUCCUUUUUAAUGCACUUGUUUAUACCUGCCACAGAGUGCCUUGGCCUGCUGGUCAGUGUUUCCAGUGCUGCUGCUUCAGAGCAAGGCAGCGCUUUUGUGUGUGCCUAUUACAAACACAUUAGCCACACGCGUGGCUCCUCGUCUCCCUUACACCACGCAGCCAGAGUGAUUGAAACGCGACAUUUUAAACCCCAAAGCAAAUUACAGCAAAGAAUCGGUGUGAAAUUACCAUCCUCUGCUCGGAGUUCCUUUCUAAAAGUCAGGCAGCGGAGCCCAGGAUAAAAGUUGGCCUGUCAGACAAGCCCAUUCAAGCUUGCAAUUCCGCUGUCAUUUGCCCGACGGGGCUGUGAUAAAGAACAAGGAUAAAAAAAAAAAAAAAGUCUGCCAAAAAUAGUGCCACUGAGAAACUGACACCCGGGCGAACUCAGGGGCCAAGGCCGGCCAGGCUCUACGCUCUCCCAAAGGACAGCAGCACUGAGGACUUGUUCUGACGGGGACAUGUGUGACCUCGGCUUUCAGCACCAAGGAGAUGGGGACAGAUCGGGCUGCAGAGAGAGCUGCCUCUGUGAAUCCCGGAAGAAAGGGCAGGGAGAACAAAGUUUACACUGAAAAUCUGGACUUUCCAAGCAGCAUGUUGAGACAGACCCACAGCAGACAGAUUCCAUGGAAUAGCCUGAUGUUUCCCAGAAGGCUGGGGACCCCCACCGCCCGCCCCCAGCAGUGCCCCAGGCUGACAAGGGGAUUGAAGUCGGAAAGUCAGACGCCUGUCCAGUGCCUGAGAAAGCGGCCUCUGUGCUCCUGCUGGAUUUCACAGCAGGGCCAAGGGCCUCACUUCCCUCCUUUGCAAAGGAAAAUAGCCAUUCUGGCAUCAACUUUGCUGAUGAGGAUUUAUCUCCGAAGCCAAAAGGAAAAAAAGUCACCUCUUGAGUCCUAAUUAGAAUGAUUCCUCUACUUAAUUUAUUCAGGAUAGCCUCCUGAAUUGGC